rnacentral:rRNA from 1 species
GAUGAACGCUGGCGGCGUGCCUAAUACAUGCAAGUCGAGCGAACAGACGAGGAGCUUGCUCCUCUGACGUUAGCGGCGGACGGGUGAGUAACACGUGGAUAACCUACCUAUAAGACUGGGAUAACUUCGGGAAACCGGAGCUAAUACCGGAUAAUAUAUUGAACCGCAUGGUUCAAUAGUGAAAGACGGUUUUGCUGUCACUUAUAGAUGGAUCCGCGCCGCAUUAGCUAGUUGGUAAGGUAACGGCUUACCAAGGCAACGAUGCGUAGCCGACCUGAGAGGGUGAUCGGCCACACUGGAACUGAGACACGGUCCAGACUCCGACGGGAGGCAGCAGUAGGGAAUCUUGCGCAAUGGGCGAAAGCUUGACGGAGCAACGCCGCGUGAGUGAUGAAGGUCUUCGGAUCGUAAAACUCUGUUAUUAGGGAAGAACAAAUGUGUAAGUAACUAUGCACGUCUGGACGGUACCUAAACAGAAAGCCACGGCUAACUACGU